GUUCUAAAUUGCCGAGUCUUUAAUUUUAAAAGCCGUAAAAAUUAUCCACAGUCCGUAACAACUAUUCUAGAGAUAUUUCUCACUAAGUUUACACCACCAAAUAAUUGAAUCGAUCUUUAUUUGAAUCGAUCUUAAAAAAAAAAACAGUUUGCGUUUACAUUGCUCACGCAAGAUCGAUCGCAAUCGAUCUUAUUUAAUCCAGUGCGUUUACACUACAACAUAA
rnacentral:lncRNA from 1 species